ensembl:lncRNA
GUAUUUAGUGUUCAGCAGAUUGCUCCUUAUUGCCCCUGACUAUAAGGUAUUUAGUGUUCAGCAGAUUGCUCCUUAUUGCCCCUGACUAUAAGGUAUUUAGUGUUCAGCAGAUUGUUCCUUAUUGCCCCUGACUAUAAGGUAUUUAGUGUUCAGCAGAUUGCUCCUUAUUGCCCCUGACUAUAAGGUAUUUAGUGUUCAGCAGAUUGCCCCUGACUAUAAGGUAUUUAGUGUUCAGCAGAUUGCUCCUUAUUGCCCCUGACUAUAAGGUAUUUAGUGUUCAGCAGAUUGCUCCUUAUUGCCCCUGACUAUAAGGUAUUUAGUGUUCAGCAGAUUGUUCCUUAUUGCCCCUGACUAUAAGGUAUUUAGGGUUCAGCAGAUUGCUCCUUAUUGCCCCUGACUCCCAGGUAUUUAGUGUUCAGCAGAUUGCUCCUUAUUGCCCCUCACUCCAAGGUAUUUAGUGUUCAGCAGAUUGCUCCUUAUUGCCCCUGACUAUAAGGUAUUUAGGGUUCAGCAGAUUGCUCCUUAUUGCCCCUGACUAUAAGGUAUUUAGGGUUCAGCAGAUUGCUCCUUAUUGCCCCUGACUCCCAGGUAUUUAGUGUUCAGCAGAUUGCUCCUUAUUACCGUGUUAAUCUUGACUUUACUUGUUAAUCGCUCCUGAAUCGUGUGAAUAGUCAAAUAUAAUGCUGAAGUAGUUGACAUUUAAAUAUAGGUGGAAGGGCUGAGGAAUGGAUAAGGUUUUAUAUAAACAGGGCUUAUUACAUCUCACUGUAAUAUUCAGCUAAUAGGAGCCCUACUGUAGGUGUAAUUCAAUUAGAACUAUUUCAUGAAGAUGUGGUUGUAUUAUCUCAAGGCAAGGCCCCUCUCCUCUACCAAAUGAAAAGGAUUUUCUGCCCUGCAGCCUAUUGACAUUUUACACAGUGUACAAAACAUUAAGAACACCUGAUCUUUACAUGACAUAGACUGACCAGGUGAACGCAUGACAUAGACUGACCAGGUGAAUGCAUGACAGACUGACCAGGUGAAUCCAUGACACAGACUGACCAGGUGAAUGCAUGACAUAGACUGACCAGGUGAACGCAUGACAUAGACUGACCAGGUGAAUGCAUAACAUAGACUGACCAGGUGAAUGCAUGACAUAGACUGACCAGGUGAAUGCAUGACAUAGACUGACCAGGUGAAUGCAUGACAUAGACUGACCAGGUGAAUGCAUGACAUAGACUGACCAGGUGAACGCAUGACAUAGACUGACCAGGUGAAUGCAUGACAUAGACUGACCAGGUGAAUCCAGGUGAAAGCUAUGAUCCCUUAUUGAGGUCACUUGUUAAAUUCUCUUCAAUCAGUGUAGAUGAAGGUGGAGGAGACAGUUUAAAGAAGGAGUGGUUAAUCCUUGAGACAUGGAUUGUGUGCCAUUCAGAGGAUGAAUGGUCAAGACAAAAUAUUUAAGUGCCUUUGAACGGGGUAUGGUAGUAGGCGCCAGCCGCACCAGUUUAAGUGUGUGAAGAACUGCAACGCUGCUGGAUUUUUCAACAGUUUCCGUGUGUAUUAACAAUGGUCCUCCAUCCAAAGGACAUUCAGCCAAUUGAGACAACUGUGGGAAACACUGGAGUCAACAUGGGCCACUAUCCCUGCGGAACGCUUUCGACACCUUGUGGAGUCCAUGUCCCGACGAAUUGAGGCUGUUCUGAGUGCAAAUGGGGAUACAACUCAAUAUUAAGAAAGUGUUCCUCAUGUUUUGUCCACUCAGUGGUUUUCUAUGCCGCUGACAUCUGAUUUGGUAAGACUGAAAGAGACAUGAUUUAUAUUGAAAAAAUGUCAUUUUGUUUCUGAAUCCAUAUUGUUAAUCGUACUAGAAUGUGUGGGUUGGCAUGGUGAUAAUGUAUGUACAAGUAGUUAGAUGUCUGUUCCUCUGGACUGGAGGUUCCCAGAAGUUGCUUCAACAUACACCCAACCUUACAGCAAUGUUUUUUUUUUUAAAUGAUGUAGAGUUCAUGUUUAGCCAACCAUGAGGCCCUUUGUCAACAUGUACAGACAGUCUUACUUCCCUUGUACUCGUUUAUAUGAUCUGUUAGCUUCACUCGCCUCCCAAAACGUAGUGAAAUAAGGUUCUUGGUGUGUUGAACAUCGACACUGUGGGGAAGAUUGUAAAGGAGUUGAUGUAGUCAUUGAUUAUGUUGCAUGAUGAAAGUCUCAGCCUUCAAGUGAUUUAUCAGAAACAGUAAUGCUGGAAGACUGUUCGUACCUGAAUCGUUCUGUGUACAGAUUUGUCCAUUGCAGCAGUUUGUACUGUAUAUGUAUUUGAUACCGUCUAUGACAACCAAUUAUGUUUUGAAGUCUUUUAAAGAAGCUGAAUUUCAUGACUCCUCUUUGUAUUGCUUAAUGUGGUAGGAGUAUCAGUGUCCCUCUCCCCUCUGUUCAGGUGUCUCUCCCAGUCCUGACAGCCGUCUAUGGGAGGAUCUCAAUGGCCUUUCCUUGAUUUCUAGCAUCCUCGCUUCCUUCUCAGCACGCAUUGGAUGAAAUGGUCAGAUGGGGAGGGAACUCUUACCUUCUCAUCCAAUGGGCUUUUAAGAAGGAGGUGAGAAGAGAGGAUGCGAAGAAUCAAGGAAAAGCAAUUGAGGUUCUCUCCAUGUCUCACCUGGCGUGGCCAGUCUGUUCACAGUUCCACAUAUCCUGUGGCUAGAAAUAUAACUAAAUGAACCAUAAUGUCCCAUAUAAUGUCCCUUAUUUUACACUGACACAAAUGGAUAACUAUAUACCUUUUUUGUUUUGUUUUCCAAUACAAUGAAUGUCGCUCUUUCAAAGGCUUGAUGUAACAGUGAGACAACGGGCCACGUUUUCAGGUUAGUUAUUUACCGAUGCGACAAUGAAUCUGUUGGCUCUCAGCUGAUGUGCUGUUCUCUCCGGUCUCUCUUGUUGUUGUGAGAGAUUUGGAGUCGCUCCUAGAAAUAGAGUCCGCUUCCCAAAUGGCACACUAUUCCCUACGUAGUGCACUACUUAGCCUAGGGCUCUGGUCAAAAGUAGUGCACUAUAUAGUGAAUAGGGUGCCAGUCAGUGCCUGAGAAUCAGCAUCUGAAUAGGACCGUCUGAAUGAAACGGUAUCGCUGGUCUGUUCAGAGC